UACUCGAGUGGCGAACGGGUGAGUAACACGUGGGUGAUCUGCCCUGCACUUCGGGAUAAGCUUGGGAAACUGGGUCUAAUACCGGAUAGGAGCCAUCUUUAGUGUGGUGGUUGGAAAGUUUUUUCGGUGUAGGAUGAGCUCGCGGCCUAUCAGCUUGUUGGUGGGGUAAUGGCCUACCAAGGCGGCGACGGGUAGCCGGCCCGAGAGGGUGUACGGCCACAUUGGGACUGAGAUACGGCCCAG
rnacentral:rRNA from 1 species